rnacentral:lncRNA from 1 species
GUGAGACUGUGAAUUCUUCAAAAGCAGGUACUGUGUUUAAUGAAGUGUGCCCAGGACUUUGCUCAGUGACUGGAUGACACAGUAGGAGUAACAAGAAAGUUCACAUGGGUGAACCGUGGUAGGUGGACAUCGUCUCUCUCACCUCUUCCCAAAUCAAGGAUGAAGUACAUCUUCAUAAAUCCUCAUGUGAAUUAUUUUGCUACCUCUAGAAGCAUUUUCUAAAACAAGGUGCAGCAAUCAGUUGAGUGAAUUUGUCACCAGAGCUUAUGUUUUCUGAAAGAACCCUAUCCUCAGGCAGUUGUUCCUAAGAGAUUCCACAAAUAUGUCAGCGCUGGAAAUGAUCCUUUGGCUUUGAACUAUGUGAAGACUGCAGAAGGACUGGUUGGUCAGGCUGCAUUUGUAUCCUGGGUCCACAAGACAUCGUUUCCUUAAAACCAAUCCCCCUGAUUUUGCUAAGUGUCUGCAAGCCUAAUAUUUCAUGGAUGUUUGACAAGGACCCCGUCUUUAGCUGAACUAAGGAGAAAGUCCUGCAACACACACAUGGAGCUCAGCAAACGGAGGAUGUAGACCCCACUGGAAAUCGGACUGUUCAACUCACCUGGCAGCCACUCACAGAGCCCGUGGAACUCUGGCCCAAGGCUCUCUGACUCCUUCUCGGCUUAGCGGCUAAAGACUGACACUGCCCGAUCGCCUCGGAAGCCCCGUAGACCAUCACGGACGCCGAGCUUUAGAUGAAGAAACUGAGGUCCAGAGAAGUUAAACGACCUUCCUAAGAUUACACAGCUUAGUAAGUGGCAGAACCACAGCUGGAAGCCAGGUCCUUCCUCACGCAAGUCCUGGCUCAUUCAUUCCUCUUCCAAAGACUUGCUGAGCACCUUCUAGGUGCCAGAUGCGGUGCUGGCUCCUGGGGACAUGGGAGUGAACAGGCCAGGCGUGGCCCUGAACCAUCAAAUAGACAACCACAGAAAUAACAACAACAAAGACAAAACCGGGCCCUUCCACACAGUAGCUGGAACACAAAGGAAGAUCAGCCAAGCCUCAACAUAAUCUCAUAAAAAUUCUUCAAAUAUCCCAUUGUUAUGGAUUCAUACAUCAGGAAAGCAGAUGCCAAGAACCUGAACACCUUCUACUGGUAACAUAUAUUUUGGCGAGCCAGCCUGGAGACAAGACCACUAUGGGCAACUUCCUGUCUAUUCUACCUGGUGUCACUGUGGACAACUUCCUAUCUAUUCCACCCGAUUCACCGCUUGGCUACAUCCUCCACCAUUGGGAUGAAUUUGACCCUAACAAUCUAAAGAAAAGGCAUAUGAUUUUUUACUGCAAUAUUGUUUGACACAAUUAUGAGCUGCCCAAUCCGGAACAAUGGGCAGUCAAUGGUAGCCUUAAUUAUGAUACCAUCCUGUAUCUAGACCUAUUUUACAAGAGGCAGGGCAAAUGGUCAGAAGUCCCACAUAUACAGGCCUACAUGACCCUAUACGAAGACCUAAGAAUCUAGGAAACUCCCAGAACCCAUCCCCCGAAGGAAAGUUCUGGGGCAGAACUAGAUAUUAUAGAUGAACCCCCUUUUACAAGGGAUACCUGUCUCUCAGAGUGAGCAGUGACUGUCCCCAUAUAACCCCUCACCAAGUGCUCCUGAGGCUGAAACCCAGGGGCAAACAUGGGGAACCCUACUAAGUCCCCCUCACACUUGGAGGGGAACACUGUAUUCAACUCUCUAUCCAGCCCUGCUACUCUCAGAGAAAUAGCAGGGGCUGAGGGGCCAAUCCUAGUGUGGGUCCCCUUCUCUAUGAUUGAUAUACAACAAUGUAAGGAAAAGCUAGGAAGCUAUUCUGAGGAUUCCGGGAAGUUUGCAGAUGGGUUCCAAACUUUGACCUUAGCCUUUGAUCUCUCAUGGAGAGACGUUCAAUUCACUCUAGCAACCUGUUGCACCUCCUCGGAAAAGGAACGAAUCUUUGAGGCUGCCCUCCGAGAAGUGGACGAAUUAUUCACCCAAAACCGUAAAGGCAGUCACCCAGGCCCAGCCACAGUUCCCACUACGCAUCCUAAUUGAGACCAAGACACCCCCGCAGGAAGGAACAACUGGGCUAAAUUUCUUGAGGCUCUUGGAGGAAUGAGAAAGGGAAUAACUAAGGCAGUAAAUUAUGAUAAAGUAAGGCAGAUUACACAAGGCAGGGAGGAAAACCCAGCUGUGUUUUACGGCAGGCUGCGGGAAGCCUUUAAAAAAUAUAUACUAAUUUGGUCCCUUCCUCUCCUGAAGGCAAGUUAUUAAUGGCACAACGUUUCAUUAGCCAAUCCACACCAGACAUUAGACGUAAGCUCCAAAAGCUACACAUGGGGCCACAAACUAACCAAAAUCAGCUUCUUGGUACUGCCUUCAUGGUGUAUAACAAUCGUGACCUGGAGGAAGGAGAAGGGAAACAGAGUAAAGAAAAACGGCAAGCCAAAAUUAUGUUAGCCAUCACUGGUGAUGCCCUAAAUGCACAAAGAUUGUCCAAGGGAAACUCAAAGGGCCAUAAGGAUAAUGCCAGCAAAGGCUCUUGCUUCAAAUGCAAUAAAAGUGCGAUUGGGCACAGGAAUCCACUAAGCCCCCGCCAGUCCCCUGCCGUCAAUGUAAAAGCACCAGUUGUGGCUCCUGGCCCUGGAGAAUUGACUGUCCCUGCUCCCACCAAGGGGCUCAGUCAGUCAAAACUCUGGCAGUGCACAAGGAGGAAUCAGAUGAAGACUGAAGGGGCCUGGGGCCUUCCUCACUGCCCCGUCUAGGAACAUUGUAAUUACUACUGAGGAACCCUGGGUAACUCUGGACAUCAUGGCCACCCAAAUUCAGUUUUUAUGUGAUACCAAGGUGAAUUAUUCUGUACAACUGCUUAUGCAGGAAAACUUUCCUCCCGGUCCAUGAGUGAUAUUGGAUGGAAGGGAAGCCACAAACAAGAUUCUUACUCCUCCUUUGGUUUGUCAAUUUGAGAAACAAAUCUUCCAACAGGAAUUUUUAGUAGUACCAAGCUGCCCAAUUCCCCUGUGGGAAAGAGAUAUUAUGGUGAAAAUAGUGACACUACUGCAAUUUAAGCAAUAUUAGCAGGUGAAACUGCUAAUAGUAAGAAAUAAGGCAAUGUCCCAGACCAUGUCAAUAAACAGGUUAACCCACUGGCAUGGUAUACUGGAAACCCAGGGAAGGCUAAAACAGCAGUGCCAGUCAAAAUACAGCUUAAAGACCCCAGCCAUUUUCCCAAUGGAAAACAAUACCCAGUUGAACAGGAAGCAAGCAAAGGUCUAGCUCCCAUAGUUGAGAUAUUACUUACCCAUGGACUCUUAAAACCCUGCAAUUCUCCCUGCAAUACCCCCAUCUUACCUGUUCUCAAGCCUGGGGGGAAUACCAGCUAGUACAGAACCUCAGAAUAAUGAAUGAGGCUGUUAUCCCCGUCCACCCAUUGGUGGCAGAUCCAUAUGCCCUCCUGGCUCAGGUGCCAGGGCAUGCAAAAUGGUUCUCAGUCCUAGACCUUUCUUCUCCAUUCCUCUGGCCCCGAGCCCCCCAGUACCUUUUUGCUUUCGAAUGGGAAAAUCCUAAUACCAGAUAAAAACAAUACACUUGGACAGUGCUUCCUCAGGGCUUUCGGGAUAGCCCCCACUUCUUUGCCUGAGCAUUAGAGCGGGAUCUGAGGGAUUUCAAGUUAGAAAAUGGAGGUAUUCUUCAGUAUGGGGAUGACCUUGUGUGUAGCCCAACCUAGGAGGUUUCUGACCAAAAUACUAUAAAAACUUUGAAUUUCCUGGCAGACAGAGGAUACAAAGUGUCCAAAAAGAAGGCUCAGAUUACCCUCCAAUGGGUCCACUAUUUAGGAUAUGUCUUAACACCCGGAACCCGGCAAAUAUCCCCAGAAGGAGUGCAAGCUAUAUGUGGUUUGGCCGCGUGCACCACCCCCAGCCCCCACCCUGACCCACCUCCAAGCAGCAGCUUUGUUCCUUUUUGGGGAUGGCCGGGCUUUGGAGAAUAUGAGUACCAAAUUUUGGGCUCAUAGCAAAGCCCCUAUAUGAAGCAACAAGGGGGCCUGAAAAUGAGCUAAUGGAAUGGACCCCGGAAAUGAGGAAAGCCUUUGCCAAGUUAAAACAGGUUCUCACCCAGGCUCCUGCUCUUGGUAUCCCAGACCUAAUUAAGGCCUUCUCCUUGUAUGUAGCAGAGAAGAGGGGCAUAGCUGUGGGAGUGCUAGCCCAGAAAUUAGGAUCAGAACCCAGACCAACCGCCUACUUCUCAAAAAAGUUGGACGGAGUGGCCUCAGGAUGGCCAAGUUGCCUGCGGGCAAUAGCAGCCACUGCUGUUAGUGGAGGAAGCCACUAAAAUCACCCUAGGGCAACCACUGGAAGUUCUAACGCUCCAUCAGGUAAAGUUAGUCUUAGAAAUAAAGGGACACAUCUGGAUGACAGGGGAAAUGUUAACUAAAUACCAGCCCAUGCUCCUAGACAAUCCAGAUAUAACUCUUAAAACCUGCAACACUUUAAAUCCAGCUUCAUUGCUGCCCACAGGCCCAAUAAUUGAUCAUUCCUGUGAGCAGGUCAUUGCACAUACAUAUGUUAGCCAGCCUGAUUUAAAAGAUGAGGCUCUCCCAGAUUCUGAAGCUGACCGGCUCACAGACGGCAGUAGUUCUUUGUCGAAUGGGGAGCACAGAGCUGGAUAUGCAGCAGUAAAUCAUGACACAAUUAUUGAAGCCCAGCCAGUGCCCCCUGGCACAUCAGCACAAAAGGCUAAAAUCAUUGAUCUUACUCAAGCAUUAAUGUUGGGACAAGGGAAAAAACUUAACAUCUAUACAGAUUCUAAAUAUGCAUUCCUUGUGGUUCAUGCUCAUACCGCCAUCAGGAAAGAAAGGGGAUUACUUACUAGCAAGCACUCCCCUAUAGAGCAUGGACCUGAAAUUCUGCAGCUAUUGAAGGCAAUACACCUGCCAAAGGCCAUAGCUAUCAUUCAUUGUAGGGGGCAUCAAAGGGACUUAACCCCUAUAGCACAAGGGAAUGGAAAGGCUGACGGAAGCCAAAGCAAAAGCCCUCAGCGUGCAAUCCCAACAGAUCCUAGCACUGCUUCCUUUCUACAAUUCCCCAGUAGAACCCAAAUACACACCACAGGAAGAACAGCUAAUAAAAAAAGCAAGGGAGACAAAAACAAGGAUCCUGGUGGCAUAUGGAGCCAAAAAUAUAUCUCCCUCAGGCAGCCCAGUGGAGAGUUAUAAAAGCCCUGCAUGACUCUUUCCAUGUGGGGAGGGAUGCGGCUCUGGCCAUGGUAAACAAGUUCUUUACUGGGUUUAACUCAGCUUCAAUGGCUAAGCAGGUCUGUCAAGCCUGCUCACUGUGUGCAUUUAACAAUCCAGGCAUCAAAAUGCCCCCUCUAAUAAAACCAGUCCAAAGGAGGGGAACUUAUCCAGGGGAAGACUGGCAGUUAGACGUCAUCCAUAUGCCAGCUUGCAGAGGAUACAAGCUUUUGUUAAUACUAAUAGAUACUUUUAGGUUGGGUCAAAGGUUACCCCAGAAAAGGCUAAUGAGGUUCUAAGGUCCUCUUAAAAGAAAUAAUUCCCCAGUUUGGGUUACCUCAGGGUCUCCAAAGUGAUAAUGGCUAAUCCUUUAUCUCCCAAAUAACUCAAGGGGUUGCUAAGGCUCUUGGAAUAAAAUACUAUUUACAUUCAGCCUGGAGGCCCCAAUCCUCUGGAAAAGUGGAAAGGGUUAACCAAACUCUAAAAUAAGCACUAGCUAAACUAUGUCAGGAAACAUCAGAAACUUGGGUUAGCUUAUUGCUCACAGCCCUUUUAAGAAUUUGUAAUACCCCUAGCUCAAAAAUUAACAGAAGCCCAUAUAAAAUGUUAUACAGAAGGCCAUUCUUAACUAAUGAUUUAAUUAUUGACCCAGAAAGAGUUGGUGUAAUUAAAUACCUAGUCAACCCAGAACAAUUCCAGCGGGUUUACAAGAGUUUGGAAUUCAAAGGCUCCUCACACUUGGAACUAACCAGCAACCCAAAAUCAGGCCAGGAGAUAGGGUACUUGUUAAAACAUGGAAUGAGGGAUCACCUGCCCAACAAUUACAACCCCAAUAGAAGGGACUUUUUUCAGUAAUACUGGCCACGUCUUCUGUGGUCAAAGUACUAGUAUUAGAUAGCUGGAUACAUCUUUCAAGGAUCAAACCAUCAAUACCAGAAGCUCCAGACCAGGAACCUGAAGUUCCCAUCAGCCAGUACACCUGUGAACCAGUGGAGGACCUGAAGUACCUGUUUAAAAGAUAGCCAAAAGAUAAGUAAAUGCCUACCAACUUUCUUUGGUGUCUUUGUUGCAUAGUUACUGUGGGCUGGAAAAUAGUAGCCAUUUUUAUCUUUGCAGUUUAAUUGCCUUCUUCCAAAUAGAUAAAAAUCACUUCCUUUGUAAUAAUUAAACAGAAUUUAAAAAAUACAUUUCUAUGACAAAUAUUCCUGAUGGCAUAAGUAUCCACCCCAAGGUUCCCAUUAAAUCUUUUAACCUAAAGUAUUUCCUCUCACCUAGAGAUCAUCGAGCUGUGUGACAAGGGUGCCAGCCACUCCAGGUGAAGACACCACCCCAGGCCAUCAAGGAUCUUCCCUACCUUCACUAAACAGAGCAGGGUGAAAGUUGUGUGAUCCCCAAUAGGUAGGGACUACACCCCAAGUCAGCAGGAAGCAGUUACAGAAGAAAGACCAUUGGUCCCUCUGCUUCCCAUAAAGAUUUAUGGGGAUCACAGCUUUCACGGGGGAGAUGAGGCAAGAGAAUAGGGCAUGCAGGCAGGGUACUUGAGGCCAAUCCACGCUGACUUCCUAGAACUGAAUUAAAUGAAAGCUCCUCAGCAAUGACAGGAAUGUGAAUGGCUUUGUAACUUCUUCCUCUCCAUUAAUGCUAUUUCCACUUUGUAACUUCACUUUCAUCCUCUCCAUUUACAUAGAUCACACACCAAGUAACAUCCUCUCCAUUUACAGUAGGGCGCAUUCCGAGUCAAUGACUCUGACUGCACUUCGUUCUCCUCAUUUACAUAGAACAUUCGCCAAGUAACCAAUGGGAAACCUCUAGAGUAUUGAAACUCCAGAAAAUUCCGUAAGUGGGGCUCUUGAGCGUCUACACUCGGGUCGCUCCCACACUGUGGCGUGUACUUUUAUUCUCAAUAAAUUCCCGCUUUUGCUUUCCUCGUUC